UGCAGAAGAAAGAAAAUAGCAAGAGAAGGAAGGAUGAUCAUAAUUUAACUCGGAAAAGUAAAGAUAAAAAGGAAAGGGUUUUUGAUCCUGCAGUAAAGCCAUCUAACUUCACUGCUCGAUCCAAUGUGUCCCCAUAUGCUCCCCCAAUGAUUACAAUGGACAAUGAUGAUGACAUCUCUUAUACAGGAAAAAUGAUGACUACAAAGAGAUAAAUGUUCCAACUGGGAAAACUUAUGAGGUUUUACUCUCUGUUGAUGCUGUAAACUCAUACAUUGCAUAGGAUUUUUCAUUGGUACAAGGCAAGAUAAAUAUGGAUAUUGGAUUUAGUUUGGAGUUUGUAAGUCCUACUGGGGAAAAAACUGGGAACUUUUGCACGUUAAUGGCUGGAAGCUAUAAACUGAUAUGGGACAACACAUACUCAACGUUUUUCAAAAAGGUUUUAUUAAUGAUAUCAAUCGAACCAGCUUCGACGCUUGAGGAUGAGGAAAAGUAGACUUCACAAUAGAUGCAACUUUCGAAGGAAAUACUUCACGUUUUUUGAACCAUAGCUGUGAUCCCAACUGUGUUUUGGAGAAGUGGUUAGUGUCAAAUACCAACAUACUCAUCCUAGGCUGCAUUAUUUUCUCUCUUUAGAGAUUCUUUUAUCAUCUAUACAGUUUUCAAAUGGAACAAAUUACUAUUAAAAACUGCUUUGCAGUAUAACCUGAUAUUAUGAACUGUAGUUUCCUUGAUGUACUCAAAUAAGAUAUGCUCCAUAGGCAUGAUUUAGAUUAGAUACUGAAU